UAGGGAAUAUUGGUCAAUGGGUGAGAGCCUGAACCAGCCAUGCCGCGUGCAGGAAGAAGGCCUUCUGGGUUGUAAACUGCUUUUGCCAGGGGAUAAAAAGACCAUGCGUGGUUUAUUGAAGGUACCUGGUGAAUAAGCACCGGCUAACUACGUGCCAGCAGCCGCGGUAAUACGUAGGGUGCAAGCGUUGUCCGGAUUUAUUGGGUUUAAAGGGUGCGUAGGCGGCCGUGUAAGUCAGUGGUGAAAUACUCUAGCUUAACUAGAGGGGUGCCAAUGAUACUGCAUGGCUUGAGUACAGAUGAGGUAGGCGGAAUUGACGGUGUAGCGGUGAAAUGCAUAGAUAUCGUCAAGAACACCGAUAGCGAAGGCAGCUUACUGGGCUGUAACUGACGCUGAUGCACGAAAGUGUGGGGAUCAAACAG
rnacentral:rRNA from 1 species